AUUGAACGCUGGCGGCAGGCCUAACACAUGCAAGUCGAGCGGAUGAAGGGAGCUUGCUCCUGGAUUCAGCGGCGGACGGGUGAGUAAUGCCUAGGAAUCUGCCUGGCAGUGGGGGAUAACGUCCGGAAACGGGCGCUAAUACCGCAUACGCCCUGAGGGAGAAAGUGGGGGAUCUUCGGACCUCACGCUCUCAGAUGAGCCUAGGUCGGAUUAGCUAGUUGGUGGGGUAAAGGCCUACCAAGGCGACGAUCCGUAACUGGUCUGAGAGGAUGAUCAGUCACACUGGAACUGAGACACGGUCCAGACUCCUACGGGAGGCAGCAGUGGGGAAUAUUGGACAAUGGGCGAAAGCCUGAUCCAGCCAUGCCGCGUGUGUGAAGAAGGUCUUCGGAUUGUAAAGCACUUUAAGUUGGGAGGAAGGGCAGUAAGUUAAUACCUUGCUGUUUUGACGUUACCAACAGAAUAAGCACCGGCUAACUUCGUG
rnacentral:rRNA from 1 species